AACUCACCAGGUCAGGACACGGUAAGGAUUGACGGACUGAAGGCUCUUUCUCGAUUCCGUGGAAAGUGGUGCAUGGCCGUUUUUGGUUGGUGGAUCGAUCCGUCUGGUUAAUUCCGUUAACGAACGAGACCUUCGGCACUCCGAAUAGCGCGGCGGACGUCGCGGCCUCCGGGCCGUCUUCCGCACGAGCUUCUUAGAGGGACCGUCCCCCGCCGGGGAAGGAGGUGCGAGGCAACGACAGGUCUGUGAUGCCCUUAGAUGUUCUGGGCCGCACGCGCAUUACACUGACGCGUCCAACGGGUGACUCCCGACCCGAAGGGGCCGGGGAAUCCGCAAGGCGCGUCGUGAUGGGGAUUGAACGUUGCAAUUGUUGUUCACGAACGAGGAAUUCCUAGUAGGCGCGGGUCAUCAACCCGCGCCGAUUACGUCCCUGCCC
rnacentral:rRNA from 1 species